rnacentral:rRNA from 1 species
AAACCAAGAGGAUUAAGUUAUGCAUUUUUGGUAAAAAGGCAGUUAAGUAAUAUAAAAAGUUUUUUUAAUUGUUAUUAAGAAGUAAAAUUCGCAUAUAACCUAGAAACUUAAUUAAAACUAUUAAACUGAAGCUGUGAUACCCUUGAGGGAAACUGGGAUUAGAUACCCCACUAUUCUUGGAUGUAAAUUAAUAUAAAUUUACCAGAGUACUAUGAAUUGUUUACAUUUAAAACUCAAAGAGCUUGGCGGUGUUUUAGACUUUUUAGGGGAACCUGUCUCAUAAUCGACAAUCCACGUUAGACCUGACCUUUAUUUGCAUUCAGUUUGUAUACCGUCGUCGUCAGGUAACUUUUUAGAAAAAAGAAGUUAGCAAUUUAGCUUUUAAUAAGCUAAUACGUCAGAUCUAGGUGCAGCCAACAUAAAGGGGAGGAUGGGUUACAAUUAUAAAAAUUAUAACUACGAAAUAACAGCUUUAAACAGCAGUUAUGAAGGAGGACUUAAAAGUAAAAUAAAAUAUAUAAAUAUAUUGAAUUAAGCUCUGAAACGUGC